AGAGUUUGAUCCUGGCUCAGGACGAACACUGGCGGCGUGCUUAACACAUGCAAGUCGAGCGGAAAGGCCACUUCGGUGGUACUCGAGCGGCGAACGGGUGAGUAACACGUGAGUAAUCUGCCCUUCACUUCGGGAUAACGCCUGGAAACGGGUGCUAAUACCGGAUACGACCGGUCUCUGCAUGGGGUGCUGGUGGAAAGUUUUUUCGGUGGAGGAUGUGCCCGCGGCCUAUCAGCUUGUUGGUGGGGUAAUGGCCUACCAAGGCUUCGACGGGUAGCCGGCCUGAGAGGGUGACCGGCCACACUGGGACUGAGACACGGCCCAGACUCCUACGGGAGGCAGCAGUGGGGAAUAUUGGACAAUGGGCGGAAGCCUGAUCCAGCAACGCCGCGUGAGGGAUGACGGCCUUCGGGUUGUAAACCUCUUUCACCUCGGACGAAGCGCAAGUGACGGUACGAGGAGAAGAAGCACCGGCCAACUACGUGCCAGCAGCCGCGGUAAUACGUAGGGUGCGAGCGUUGUCCGGAAUUAUUGGGCGUAAAGGGCUCGUAGGCGGUUUGUCGCGUCGGGAGUGAAAACCCAGGGCUUAACCCUGGGCUGGCUUCCGAUACGGGCAGACUAGAGGUAUGCAGGGGAGAACGGAAUUCCUGGUGUAGCGGUGAAAUGCGCAGAUAUCAGGAGGAACACCGGUGGCGAAGGCGGUUCUCUGGGCAUUACCUGACGCUGAGGAGCGAAAGUGUGGGGAGCGAACAGGAUUAGAUACCCUGGUAGUCCACACCGUAAACGUUGGGCGCUAGGUGUGGGGUCCAUUCCACGGAUUCCGUGCCGCAGCUAACGCAUUAAGCGCCCCGCCUGGGGAGUACGGCCGCAAGGCUAAAACUUAAAGGAAUUGACGG
rnacentral:rRNA from 1 species